AGCAGCCGCGGUAAUUCCAGCUCCAAUAGCGUAUAUUAAAGUUGUUGCAGUUAAAAAGCUCGUAGUUGAAUUUCGGGAUCAUCAGGUUGGUCGUGCCUUUGGUAUGUACUGAUUUCGAUGGUUCCUCCUUCUUGAAGAUCCGUAAUGCCAUUAAUUUGGUGUUGCGGGGAAUCAGGACUGUUACUUUGAAAAAAUUAGAGUGUUUAAAGCAGGCAAUCGCUUGAAUACAUUAGCAUGGAAUAAUGAAAUAGGACGUUCGAUCCUAUUUUGUUGGUUUCUAGGAUUGACGUAAUGAUUAAUAGGGAUAGUUGGGGGCAUUAGUAUUCAAUUGUCAGAGGUGAAAUUCUUGGAUUUAUUGAAGACUAACUACUGCGAAAGCAUUUGCCAAGGAUGUUUUCAUUAAUCAAGAACGAAAGUUAAGGGAUCGAAGACGAUCAGAUACCGUCGUAG
rnacentral:rRNA from 1 species